UACGUUCAUCCUACAGUGUAGGACGGAAGUAGACGUAAGUCGAAGGAACGCACC
rnacentral:ncRNA from 10 species